rnacentral:rRNA from 2 species
GACGAACGCUGGCGGCGUGCUUAACACAUGCAAGUCGAACGGAAAGGCCCUGCUUUUGUGGGGUGCUCGAGUGGCGAACGGGUGAGUAACACGUGAGUAACCUGCCCUUGACUUUGGGAUAACUUCAGGAAACUGGGGCUAAUACCGGAUAGGAGCUCCUGCUGCAUGGUGGGGGUUGGAAAGUUUCGGCGGUUGGGGAUGGACUCGCGGCUUAUCAGCUUGUUGGUGGGGUAGUGGCUUACCAAGGCUUUGACGGGUAGCCGGCCUGAGAGGGUGACCGGCCACAUUGGGACUGAGAUACGGCCCAG